AUCUAACAUAGUAAUUUUCAUACACAUUUCAUUUUUCAUUCACAUGCAAGAGACUUGUUUAAUGUAGCAUCUUUGCUUAGAAGAAAAUUAGGACACCUUUUAUAACAAGAUGUGAGCCUUUUGGAUUUGUUGGUGUAUAUUUUAAUUUAUGGCCAUCACCAAAUCAUUUCACAUACCUAUCCUUUCAUGGGCUAGUGUUCCAGCCCCUAUGCCAAUGCUAUUAUUGGUAUAGAUCAGCAAGGAUGACUCACUGUGGAGACAGAGAAUCCAGGAAAAUGCCAUCCUUUCUAUGUUACCCAACUAAGGGCCAAGGACCAAGGAGUUUGGGUCAGGCAUUCAUCCUCCAUGCACUGAAGAUAAGGGAUGUCUGGGAGCUGGGCAGCAGAACUGAUCUGUCAAGUUAAAUAUGUGCAGGUUGUUUCUGAGAGAAUGAGCAAGCAGAUUUGGUCUCACACAGGGAUAAGAGGAGUUUGGUGGACAUUCCCUGUAGGGCACACAUUCAUCUUCGCAGUGACAUAAUCAUUAAUCUCAGCCCAUCUCUCACACCUGGUGAGUUAUUCAGAAAAAGCAUUUAUAGGCAUUCACUGUGCAGGACUAAAGAUUGUUUACACUGUGGGAAGCUAAAGUGGCCAGUAAUGCUGUACCUGCAUAUUCCCCCAUCCACCCUCCACCCCAACAACCCAGAAAUUGCUUUUUUCCCCUUUUUCUCAAUAACAUUUGGGAUGGUAGCUUUUGAUAAGGCUGGAACUUUAGGGAAGCUCUGUAGAAGACUCCUUCCUUAAGUUUUUUCUGUUGAUAUUUCAGAAGAGACAGUUAAGAGUACUCUCACAUAUGAGCAACUUCCUAAAAUAAGGCCAAGCCAGCAGAAAGUAUUAUUAAAUUAACCUCAUCUCUCUCUGUGGAGCCCUUCACUCUGACCAGCUGAGUGCAUUUCAUUUCUAUUAUAUUAGAAUCCACUGUAAAGAAUUAUGUUACAGUGAUUUCAUUUUUUCAACAAACCUACUCACCAUCUGCAUUUGGCAAAACUCAUUGACAUCAGUCUUUGUUGCUUAGCAAUAAAUACUUGCGCUGUCUCCA
rnacentral:lncRNA from 1 species